UGAAGGCUUGACCUCAAAUCAGGUAGCGACUCCCGCUG
rnacentral:rRNA from 1 species